AAUAAUGGGAAACUAUAGAUGUUCUGCAGACCCAUUGGAGGCUACAUAAGACAGAGGCCUUGCUAGCCUGCUGCCCAUCUCACCACUUCAGCAGGUACCCUCAUGGUGAGGACUGGGCCAGUCUCCACUGGGAGAACUUCAGCCAUUGUACUUCCUUACUUUUCCCUCUGUAGUCUUGAUAGUCUUAAAGUCUGAGAUUCAGCCUCAAAACUCCCUUUCCAAUCUUCUACUCAAAGGCACUCAUACAUAGUCUCACACACACACACAUGCAUAUACAUGCAUGCUCACUCCUGGAACUAUGUGCUGAAAUGGGCUCUAGGAGUUGAGCUCCAGGGAAGCUAACCUGCCAGGAAGAGCCUGGUCCUGGACCAGGUUAAGAGAUAUGGAGGGUGACAGAAAUCCCUCUAAGCCCUGCCACAGGCAUAUUUACCUGGUAUUCACACUGGGACAGUAGGAGAUGGGGCUUGGCCAAGCCAAGGCAGCCCAGCAAUGGCAUGAUGGAAAGCCUGGUUGAGAGAAAACAGUUUAAAGAAGAGCAGGCUUUGGGUGCUGUCUCCACUUCUCCCGUUUCUCAUGGGAGGAGGAAGCAGAUGUGUUCUGGUGGCCAGAGAGAACUAGGACCAACAGGGGCUGACAAAAGGAGGCAAAACUGGGUUCCAUAUUCAACAACUUCCUAGGGGCAGCCUUAGGAGGUAAUGGGCUGUCAAUCACAGAGAUUUUAGAGCAGACCCUGGACAGCUAGUCUGAACUUUAAGGCCUCAAGAUGUGAAUAUCAUUCUGUUUCAUAGCCUAAGAGUCCACUUUGAAAGUUAUUAUUUGAUUCCAUACUCCAUAAUCUUCAGACUUUCAUAGUUCAGUGAUUCAAAAAUGCUAAGACCUUAUUAUUCCCUGACUCUGGAACCUGGAAUACUUAGAAUUGUAAAAUUAUCUGAGACAUGGUCAUCUCUGAACAUUUAUUUUAAAGACGUGUUAAGCACAUGCUUUGCAUGAGCUACUUUACAUAUAUUACCUCAUUUAAUCUUCACGGUGUAUGUUACAUACUAUUAUUAUCUGUACCUUUCAGGUGAAGAAACUGAGGCACAGAGAGGUUAAGUAACUUACCUAAGAUCACACAAGCAAUACAUAGUGGUCCUAUAACCAAAACCUGGAGUCUAUAAUCUUAACCACUGUACUAGGCUGCCUCCCUGUGCUAUAAAAGGAAUAUAUCCAGGAGCCCUGGCCGGGCCCAGCGCAAAGUGAUGGAGCCCUCUGAGACUGUUGCCGGACCCAGUCUCCACUGGCCUGUUGCAGUCCCAGCCCUUGGGCUGGAGGAGUUGUGACUCUCCCUUCCCCUUCCCACCUUACCAGGGAGGUGUUCCUUCCAUCGUCUCAGGUCCUGAAUUCCCCAGGCAAAGCCAGCCACAUUCUUCGGGCUAGAGUCCAAGUUUAUUUAAGAAGAGGAAAAUGUUAUUAUGGAAAUUACAACAGCUUUACAAAACAGAGCGUCGCUGUAUCAAUCCAGGACCACAAGAAUGCUCAUCAACUUAAUAGCUUCCUGUUGGGAGCCUUUCAAGCUGUGCCUGAAGCUGGCAGGCAUCAGGGUGUGGGAGUGAGGCCAAGCAACUGGGUGACAUUACCCCCUCCUCUGCCCACUGCCCUUGGGAAUGAGAGCCGACAGAGGGGACCCCUCCCUGACUCCUCAUGCCCUGCAAUCCUAAACAAUACAGGCAGCUCAGUUUCCCAUUCUCAAAAGUGGAGGUGUGUGCGUGUGUGUGCAUGUGUGUGUGUGUGUGUGUGCUUGUAUGUCUAGGGGUAGUGAGCAGAGCAGAGGGCUGGGGCUCCCCUUCCCGCCAGCCCCAACCCCAUUCCACACCCUCAGCCUAGCUCAGGCAUAAAUGAGGUCGCUGCUCUUCAGACUCUCUUGGCAAACCUAGUGCUUAGCAUCUAAAUCUAGGUCCCUGAUAAGGAGAGGGUAGAAAAAUGUUUAAGAAAAAGAUUGCUUUUUUUUUUUUAACCUCCUAAGCCUAAGGAGAGAGAAGACCAGGGUCUUAACUCUUUUUAUCUCGUUUUUUAAUAAAGGAAGAAGAAAAGAAAACCAUUAAAGCAAAAUUCCUGGGGCUGGGAGCAGUCAGGACUUUGGCACGUGUCUCCUCCUCGUGUUUGCCACCAUGCCAGGCACUAUCCUAGGUGCUUUAUGCGAACUCAUCGUCACCCUCUCAACAACCCUCAUUUUAUAAAAGAGGAGACCAAGGCACCAAGUUGAAGUGAACUUCCCCAAAGCCACACAGCUAGAGGUGCAGCUGCACUUGGACCCGGGCAGUCUGACUUCACUUCAUCCCAACACGGUGAAGAUCAUCUGUUUGCAAAGGGUGUGCUAUGCAUCAGACACUAAUUUAGGCACUUUUAUAAGAAUAACAUCACUUAGCACCUUGAAGGAAUGAUCAGCUCCCUUUUACUGAUGAGAAGCUAAGGCUCACAGAACUGAUUUGCCCAUCUUCUGCCCAUUUCAGAAAAGUAGAAGAACUAAGAUGUGAACACUCAUCUCAGAUCCUUGCACACGCACCUCUGGGUCCUCCCUGCUGGGCAGGGGCUGUGCUGAAUGGCUGUGCUCGGACAGCUCCAGAUGGAGGCAGAGCCUGAGGGACCAGCCCCUCCUGCCUUCCUCAGACAGCUUUUCCUCACAGUGUGGGUGGAGGCAGCUGGAGGUUGGCCCUAGCGGCCCCAUCUGCUAACACUCAGGGCUGGGAGAAGAUAGUGCUUUUUAUCUCUGCAGAGAGUUCAAGAGUUUAUCCCCACCCGGGGCAGUGGGGAGCCGGGUGCCCAUUCUUGGAGGGUGUCCCAUGACAGGAGAGAUGGAAGGCACUCUUCCUCUCCCUUCCAGCACUCACUCCUCUCCACACCCCAGCAUCACCAGAGGCCCGCGGGAAAUGUCUUGGACCAAGCUCUUGGACAUGGGUGCUGGGUCCAGUGGAAAAUAUCCAGCUCAGAGUCCAGGGAGGGCUAGGUACCAAGAAGCCAGAGCGGCCUGUAAAAAGGUCACAGCUCUGGAGGUGGGCACCCUAUGGGCGGUGGGGCGGGGGGUGCACUCCUAGCUCUGCCGCCUUCUGACCAUGUAACCUGGGACACAGUACCUCACUGUCGAGCCUGUUUCCUCCCAUUGAAAGCUGAAUUCUCAUUCCUACUUUGGAGAGUUGUUGUCAGGGUAAAAACAAGAAAGAUCAAGUAUUCGGUACCUGUCUCACAGUCUGACCUAUGGAUGGGGCUCUGAAAUGACCCCUUUACUGUAUGCAGCACAUGAAUUUGACUUCAUUCAAUAAAACAAACUCCACUCCAGUCUCCCCUAGAUAGAGCGAGCGAGCUCACCCUCCUCCUCAAGCCACCUUCCUUUCCCCAGGUCCUCUACAUUUUUCCCAUGCCCUACAGAGGGUAGAGCACACCCCUCUGCCAUUCAGGACCUCCCAGGAGUAUCUAGGCACCUGUCUCUAGGCCUCAAAUGACUCAUUCUCCCUGAACAAAGCAGGCCCUAUCUUUGUCCCCCAGUGCAUCCUUCAAGGCCCAGAUCAUCUGCUGCCUCCUCUCUGAAGCCGCCCCCAGAUCCCUGAGGGAGAAUGAAUCACUUGCUCCACUGUGCUCCGACAGCUCUGAGCUCAUUCUGCUUUGUGGGAUGGGUAUGGAUUUGUGUAUCUGCCUCUCCAGCAGACUGGGAUUCUCAUGGUCUUCUAAAAUGCCUGGCACAAAAUUUGUAAAUGUCAUUUAAUUAAUUAAUUAAUCAUAUAGAAUAUCCUAGAAUUAGAGCAUCUCAGAGCUAGAAGAUCUUAACAAUCAUCUGGUUCAAAUGCCUUACUCAAUAAUUGAAGGGGCCUGGAGCUGGAAAGUGGGGGAGGGUUGACAUGAGGAUAGAGAAGGAUGGGACCGAGGUUGCACAGUGAGAUAGCAGCCGAGGAUACAUUAGAAUGCUGUCCUUCACAGCAGAAUAAAAUCAAGGGUUGUUAUUUUUGCUUUACAGUUAGAUGGACCAAGACCCAUCAUGGCUCUCCAUUGCUCUCUGAAUAAAGUUCAAAUUUGUUAUCCUGACUCCCUAA